UACGUAGGGUGCGAGCGUUGCCCGGAUUUAUUGGGCGUAAAGGGCGCGUAGGCGGCCACGCACGUCCGUUGUGAAAUCGCCCGGCUCAACUGGGCGGGGUCAGCGGAUACGGUGUGGCUCGAGCAAGCUAGGGGGCAAUGGAAUUCCCGGUGUAGUGGUGGAAUGCGUAGAUAUCGGGAGGAACACCAGUGGCGAAGGCGGUUGCCUGGAGCUUUGCUGACGCUGAUGCGCGAAAGCUAGGGGAGCAAACAGG
rnacentral:rRNA from 1 species